UGCGUAGGUGGUUCGUUAAGUCCGUUGUGAAAUCCCUUGGCUCAACCAAGGAACUGCUUCGGAUACUGGCGAACUUGAGGCCGGUAGGGGUCACUGGAACAGACGGUGGAGCGGUGAAAUGCGUAGAUAUCGUCUGGAACGCCUGUGGUGAAGACGGGUGACUGGGCCGGAACUGACACUGAGGCACGAAAGCGUGGGGAGCGAACGGGAUUAGAUACCCCGGUAGUCCACGCCCUAAACGAUGCAGACUAGAUUGCAGCGGGUCUUACCCCGUUGCGGUCGGAGAAAAAUUGUUAAGUCUGCCACCUGGGAAGUACGGUCGCAAGGCUAAA
rnacentral:rRNA from 1 species